AUGCUUAAAGAGGGGCUUGCGCCACAUUAGUUAGUUGGUAAGGUAAAGGCUUACCAAGACGAUGAUGUGUAGCUGGACUGAGAGGUCGAACAGCCACAUUGGGACUGAGACACGGCCCAAACUCCUACGGGNGGCAGCAGUAAGGAAUUUUUGGCAAUGGAGGAAACUCUGACCGAGCGACGCCGCGUGAACAAUGAAGUACUUCGGUAUGUAAAGUUCUUUUAUUGAAAAAGAAAAAAUAGUGGAAAAACUAUCUUGACAUUAUUCAAUGAAUAAGCCCCGGCUAAUUAUGUGCCAGCAGCCGCGGUAAUACAUAAGGGGCGAGCGUUAUCCGGAAUUAUUGGGCGUAAAGGGUGCGUAGGCGGUUUGAUAAGUCUAUAGNUUAANUGCAGUGCUUAACGCUGUANCGCUAUAGAAACUGUCUGACUAGAGUUAGAUAGAGGCAAGCGGAAUUCCNUGUGUAGCGGUAAAAUGCGUAAAUAUAUGGAGGAACACCAGAGGCGUAGGCGGCUUGCUGGGUCUUAACUGACGCUGAGGCACGAAAGCGUGGGGAGCAAACAGGAUUAGAUACCCUGGUAGUCCACGCCGUAAACGAUGAGUACUAAGUGUCGGGUUUUGGCUCGGUACUGAAGUUAACACAUUAAGUACUCNGCCUGANUAGUACGUACGCNAGUAUGAAACUUAAAGGAAUUGACGGGACCCCGCA
rnacentral:rRNA from 1 species